GCACCCGUAGCUCAACUGGAUAGAGUUUCUGACUUCGGAUCAGAAGGUUAGAGGUUCGAAUCCUCUCGGGUGCGCCA
rnacentral:tRNA from 1 species